GUUAUAUGGUCAGCGAAUAAGCGCACACGGUGGAUGCCUUGGCGGUCAGGGAGCGAUGAAGGACGUGGCAGCCUGCGAAAAGUAUCGGGGAGCUGGCAACAAGCUUUGAUCCGGUAAUGUCCGAAUGGGGAAACCCACCCGCUUGCGGGUAUCCUGCAGUGAAUACAUAGCUGCUGGAAGCGAACCUGGUGAACUGAAAUAUCUAAGUAACCAGAGGAAAAGAAAUCAACCGAGAUUCCGUAAGUAGCGACGAGCGAACGCGGACUAGCCCUUAAGCUGAUUUGGUUCUAGGAAAACGCUCUGGAAAGAGCGGCCAUAGAAGGUGAUAGCCCUGUAUCUGAAAGGGCCAUUUCAGUGAAGACGAGUAGGGCGGGGCACGUGAAACCCUGUCUGAACAUGGGGGGACCAUCCUCCAAGGCUAAAUACUACUGACCGACCGAUAGUGAACCAGUACCGUGAGGGAAAGGCGAAAGAACCCCGGAGAGGGGAGUGAAAUAGAACCUGAAACCGUGUGCGUACAAGCAGUAGGAGCUCCGCAAGGAGUGACUGCGUACCUUUGUAUAAUGGGUCAGCGACUUACUGUUCGUGGCAAGCUUAACCGUAUAGGGGAGGCGAAGGGGAAACCGAGUCUGAUAAGGGCGCAUAGUCGCGGGCAGUAGACCCGAAACCGGGUGAUCUAGUCAUGCCCAGGGUGAAGGUGCGGUAACACGCACUGGAGGCCCGAACCCACUCCCGUUGCAAAGGUAGGGGAUGAGGUGUGAUUAGGAGUGAAAAGCUAAUCGAACCCGGAGAUAGCUGGUUCUCCUCGAAAGCUAUUUAGGUAGCGCCUCAUAUGUAUCCUCUCGGGGGUAGAGCACUGUUAUGGCUAGGGGGUCAUCGCGACUUACCAAACCAUUGCAAACUCCGAAUACCGAGACGGACUGUAUGGGAGACACACGGCGGGUGCUAACGUCCGUCGUGAAAAGGGAAACAACCCAGACCCACAGCUAAGGUCCCAAAUUCACUGCUAAGUGGAAAACCAUGUGGAAAGGCACAGACAGCCAGGAGGUUGGCUUAGAAGCAGCCACCCUUUAAAGAAAGCGUAAUAGCUCACUGGUCGAGUCGGUCUGCGGGGAAGAUUUAACGGGGCUAAGCAGUGAACCGAAGCUUGGGGUGCAUAACUUUGUUAUGCGCGGUAGAGGAGCGUUCCGUAAGCCGUUGAAGGUGGAUUGAGAAGUCUGCUGGAGGUAUCGGAAGUGCGAAUGCUGACAUGAGUAACGAUAAUGCGGGUGAAAAACCCGCACGCCGAAAGCCCAAGGUUUCCUUGCGCAACGUUAAUCGGCGCAGGGUGAGUCGGCCCCUAAGGCGAGGACGAAAGUCGUAGUCGAUGGGAAGCAGGUUAAUAUUCCUGCACCUCGCGUAAGUGCGAUGGAGGGACGGAGAAGGUUAGGUGUACCAGGCGUUGGUUGUCCUGGGGAAAGGCGGUAGGUUUGGAUCUUUGGCAAAUCCGGGAUCCUUCAAGACCGAGCACCGAGACGAGCCUUUAAGGCGAAGUCACUGAUACCACGCUUCCAGGAAAAGCUCCUAAGCUUCAGCUUACGCAGACCGUACCGUAAACCGACACAGGUGGGUAGGAUGAGAAUUCUCAGGCGCUUGAGAGAACUCGGGUGAAGGAACUAGGCAACAUGGCACCGUAACUUCGGGAGAAGGUGCACCCUUUUUGGUGGCUCGUGCGAGCUAUAGCUGAAGAGGGUCGCAGUAACCAGGCCGCUGCGACUGUUUAUCAAAAACACAGCACUCUGCAAACACGAAAGUGGACGUAUAGGGUGUGACGCCUGCCCGGUGCUGGAAGGUUAAUUGAUGGGGUCAGCCGCAAGGCGAAGCUCUUGAUCGAAGCCCCAGUAAACGGCGGCCGUAACUAUAACGGUCCUAAGGUAGCGAAAUUCCUUGUCGGGUAAGUUCCGACCUGCACGAAUGGCGUAACGACAGCGGCGCUGUCUCCACCCGAGACUCAGUGAAAUUGAAAUCGCUGUGAAGAUGCAGCGUUCCCGUGGCAAGACGGAAAGACCCCGUGAACCUUUACUAUAGCUUUACACUGAACGUUGAGUUCGUCUGUGUAGGAUAGGUGGGAGGCUAUGAAACUGUGGCGCUAGCUGCAGUGGAGCCAUCCUUGAAAUACCACCCUGUCGUGCUUGACGUUCUAACCUGGGCCCAUUAUCUGGGUCGGGGACCGUGUAUGGUGGGUAGUUUGACUGGGGCGGUCUCCUCCUAAAGAGUAACGGAGGAGCUCGAAGGUACGCUCAGCGCGGUCGGACAUCGCGCACUGUGUGCAAAGGCAUAAGCGUGCUUGACUGCAAGAUCGACGGAUCAAGCAGGUAGGAAACUAGGACUUAGUGAUCCGGUGGUUCUGUAUGGAAGGGCCAUCGCUCAACGGAUAAAAGGUACUCCGGGGAUAACAGGCUGAUACCGCCCAAGAGUUCAUAUCGACGGCGGUGUUUGGCACCUCGAUGUCGGCUCAUCACAUCCUGGGGCUGUAGUCGGUCCCAAGGGUAUGGCUGUUCGCCAUUUAAAGUGGUACGCGAGCUGGGUUCAGAACGUCGUGAGACAGUUCGGUCCCUAUCUGCCAUGGGCGUUGGAGAUUUGAGAGGGGCUGCUCCUAGUACGAGAGGACCGGAGUGGACGAACCUCUGGUGUUCCGGUUGUCACGCCAGUGGCAUUGCCGGGUAGCUAUGUUCGGAAGCGAUAACCGCUGAAAGCAUCUAAGCGGGAAGCGCGCCUCAAGAUGAGAUCUCCCGGGGCACAAGCCCCCUGAAGGAACCAUGUAGACUACGUGGUUGAUAGGUCAGGUGUGUAAGUACAGCAAUGUAUUGAGCUAACUGAUACUAAUGAUCCGAGAGGCUUGACCAUAUAACCU
rnacentral:rRNA from 1 species